GAUGAAAUAUUGCGUUUCGUGAACGCUUGCAAAGCAAUCUUGGUCAAUUACAGUAACCUUGCCGGUUUAUUCGUGAGGAUGUGGCGUCACCGGUACGAUGGCAAUGUCUGUUUCCUUUUUGUGAGCUGCUAUAAGCAUCGAAAAGUUUAUCGAAAAGGAUCUUAUUAAGGUUGUCGGAACGUAAAUCGGAUCUAUAAAAAUAGUCAGAUAGCCCAUCGACCUUUCAUCGUACAGGACGAUAAGUGCGCGGACAUCGAGACAAAGUCGAGGUCGUUAACCCCGGACUAUCAGCUGACGACAUCGGCCAAACCACGGAGAAAUUAUCUUUCACGCUUUAUUUCGGUCGUUCACUGGCUCUAUUGCCCUCCAUAUUUUCUAGUCACAAAUAAAAAGUACGUUAACAA